rnacentral:misc_RNA from 1 species
GCGUAAUUGCCGUCAUUCGBCAAGCUGUGUAGCUUGAUUAGAAUUUGAGCAUGUUUUCUGUGUAAAUGUGCAAGCAUUGAAUUACUAWGCAUUGCUUAGAAUCACAGAAUCAAGCUUAACUAAUUGCCCGUAACACCACAUUCCUCCAUCUUAG